rnacentral:lncRNA from 1 species
CCCACUCUCAAAUGAGGUCCUCAGUGCUGACAACAGGAGAGGUUCCAGUGGCUAGGGGCCAAGUGAUGCUGAUGGCUGGAGACCAAAGGAACUGGCAAGAAGAAGACACAUCCCUUCAGGCUGCUUGGAAGGGAAUUUGGAUGUAAAAUAACCAGGAUUGCCCCUGGAGCCCCUUUCAAGAAGGAUGCCCUACUGGCCAUCUUUUGUUGCCUUGGUGAAUCCCUCAGGAGGAUGCUACAGCUGCCAUCAGCCCCUGCACGACUGUCCCUUGCUGGCUCAGGAACUUCAGCCUUGGUCACAUCUCUUCCUUUGGUCAGAGCUGCACGAAGGACAGAGUUUUGAAGUAAUUGUAUAUUGUACCAAUACUUAAAAGUCCUGUCUUCAUUCCUCCCUUCCUUUGGUGUGUGAGUCAUUCCAGCAAACCUAUCGUGCUUUAAAUUAAUUGGGUCUUGGAAGGGGACAGAGAUAAUGAGCCAUUCCAGGACGGCAUUUCUUAAAAGCCAGGGGAUGUACAGCACAGGGGAGGGUGCUGCCUGAGCCUUCCUCACCUUGUCAAACAUAUCCAGCUCUUUCCUGAGCGUGUGGCAGGGUCUGUGCAGUGUCUGACAGCUGCUGGCCUCCACUCCAGACCCCUCUGAAGGGAAGCUGCUCUGACAAAGCUCUGCUUGCAGAACUAGAGCUGGGCUCAGACCCUGGGAGAGCUGUGUGAGUUUUGAACUGCUCAGCAAAGGUUGUUGUGAGUUCAGUGCAGUGGGGGUGUGAGUGUGGGUGGCACACGGUCCCACCUGUAUGUGGGGUUGUCUCUGCUCACUGUUCCUGUACCUCAAAGAAGCUCUGGCUGGUGCCCCUGCAGAGUGAGCUGCAGGCAGGGAUGAAGGAAUUAAUAUUCUUGAUAACAGCCUCCAUGCACAACACACACACAGAGUGACUUCCCCCUCCCACUCUUUGUCAAGAUCCUUUCAUUAGCAAAGAGUUUUCUGUUAAGGAAAACAGGAUUUUAUUGGGUUUUGUUUGUUUGUUUAUUUGUUUUUCUGUCUUGGCUACCACACAAGGGGAGGAGAACCACCUACUAAAAAGAAAACACUGUACAGAGUGUUCAAGGCUCAGAGGCUUCUGAAGCUGAGAGUUCACCCCAGCAAAGGACAAUGAAAUGGAUGGGUCUAGCUCCCACACAGAUAGGCUGCACCAAAGCAAAGGGCAGAGUUUGAUGGGCCAAGCCAUGGCCAGGCUGGAGCACUCAGAGCUGGCAGGACAGCACAGGUAGGAGCAGGCUGUCACUGCUGCCUGCUAGGGUUUCACAUCCCACUGAAAAUCAGGGGGCCAGCAAUCAGACAGGAAUUGGG